rnacentral:pre_miRNA from 1 species
CGGCAUCAUCAAGAUUCACAACAAAACUUUUGUGAUGAUAAGCUCUUUUUAAUCGAUCGACUUGAUCAAAAGCUUCUCUCCGAAAUGGGAAUCUUGAUGAUGCUGCA